GGUGCAAUAUCCAAUGCCAAAUACAAGAAGCGUUGGUGAGUCAUAAUUUUUUAUUUCUGCCCUAGUUACUUUGGAUUUGAUAUUAUGGUUGCUUUGUCUUCUCAUAUGUCACAUUUAUACUGCUCACCUCACCUCAUCACCAGGCAGUUACAGUGAAAAAGCUGUCAAUACCAAUAAUAUAUUAUCAUAAAAASUGAGCAGAUUUAAUUUGUGCACAUACUGAAAUAUGUCUAGGAUGGCAAGCGAUCAACAGUAUGGCACAGUCCCAGUUUGUGCAAUGCACAUUAAUUGGAGAAYAUGAAGAGAUUAACCUGGGUUAGGAGGAGGAGAACGAGGACAUCUAUGGCGAUGGAGAGGACAUGGAGGAUGAGGACUACAUCCCAGCUGAGGAUGCAGAAGAUGACAUUGUUUGCCCUACAGCAUCUGUAAAAAUGUCUGACAUUAUAAUAAUGUCUGACAUAUAGUAUAUUUAUUCACUAUCAGCUAGCCUGAGGCUUCAGCCAGURCGGAUGAGAAAAUACAUUUAUUGUYUUCCAGUKCAAACUAAUGAAGCUUUUCCAAGUCUGUGUUGGGUGUGGUGCGGCGAGUUCAGGGACUACGUCAGCAGCGAGAGGGACAGCGCUCUACAUCAUGCAGAUCUGCAAGUCGUYCAACCAUGUGAGAGAAUGGUCCAGCCAGCCUAUCUAGAGGGUGCCAGCAGGAAAUCUAGUCCUUUCUGCUGCCAUAUUGGUGUCAGGUUGUAUGCCGACCAAAGUCCUCCGAAUGCUCGGCAUUAUCGGAGUGGCAACUAUUCACUGCAGCACAUUCUUUCGUCACCAGCAUAACCACCUUGAGCCAGCAGUCCUCAACACAUGGGAUGUCGAGCAGAGUGGCACCAUCAAAACCCUCAAGGAAAUGGGUGGAGAUCUGGUCUUAGCAGCAGAUGGAAGGAGMGAUGCUGCACUUCCUGCCGAAGCACACCGCCUUUCUCCUACAAGGGAAUGCAUGCAAGCCUUGCAUUAGAAUGACAACAGUGGAUGGAUGCAGGCAGCGAGAAAAGACUAGCUGCUCAGGUACUCCCUCUCCUUCCCAAAGACCAAGAAGGGUGGAUACACAAUUUGGCCAAACCCACCUAUGGAACCUGAAUACCACCACAGUUCAACAUCCGCCUUCUAAUGUCAAGCUGCCAUCAACACACAUCCAGCCCUAAGCUGAUUCCUGUCCGUCUGCUAGGGUAGAGCAGUAACUGUCACUAGGGUUUAGUUACACAAAGUUGUUCCCUUGUAUUCUCUGCCCUUGUUUACUUCCCAUUACUGAGUUGAGAUAAUUUGAUAAGUUUAAGCAGCAGUUAUACACCCGCCCGAGGUCUAUGUUCAUCGGACCUGGCUCCUUGACGAUCCUCACACAAAGCGUGGCAUGUCUCUGCUGCUGCCGCCAAGCUUUCAGAGUGGAAUUCAARCAUCCAUAAAGAAAUGUAUUGUAUUUCAACAAUGGAAUUGUUAUUAUAUAUUAACUAUCAUUAUUAUGGGGACUGUGAUCACAAAGUGAAAUGUGACAGAUAAACACAAAAAGCACUCCAUGUCAAAAGUGAUUUUUAUAACUGUUAAUGAAAAGGUAAAAACGUGUUUGAAUUCUUUGGAUGUUAACUUGAAGACAGUGUAGUACAUGUUCUCCUCAUUUGGGAACCUAUUUCUUAUCCCAUUUACUGCACACACUGGAAUUGGCAAGUUUCCUUUGCCAUGGUAUGCUAGCUGAUAAGGCUAGUUAGCUGGCUAAAAUAGCUAGGCUUUUCACAUCAGAAGUGCCUCUCUCCCUGGCUCUCGCUUUCUUUGGUAGCUAACUCAGCCUAUAGUCCGAACCACGAUUGACCCCAUCCGUCAAUAUUUGUGUCCACUCUCUUUGCUUUUUUUUUUAUCUGCUGGAGGGUUUUGUUUUAGUUGUUCUGUGUGUUACUGCCUGUGCUCGCUGGUCUUGAUUGUUGUAGCGUUAGCUGGCUGGCUACCUAGCUGGCUGAAAUAGCCAACGUUAACUGGCUGGCUAGUUUGCUGGCUAAGGUAACAUUAACUGCAUAUAACAUUCUUUGAUAGCUGGUUAGAUGUUGUUAUGUAUUUCAAAAAAAGUUGGUUAUAUUUAAUGUAGUUGUUGARAGCAACUGGCUGACUCAUGAAGUGCUCAUGUAAAGUUAGSAGGCUGGUAGGGCUAAUGUUAGCAGGCUAGUUUGCUAGCAACCUUGCAAGCUGAUUUGUAACAAUAUAUUCAUAAAGUAUUUGCUCGCAAGUUGGCUGAAAAUGUAAUUGAAACCAGUAGUCAUGAGUGCUCACCCCCCAAAAAACGACAAAAAAAUCUGUCAUGACUUCGAUCGGUUUUAUGUAAUAAUUUGAAAAAUAGAAUAGUGGUGUGUAACUUUGCAUUGGGACUUUUAACGCGUACACUAAUGCAAAUCCAUAUGUUACAUGUGGUUCUGUUUAUACUACAUACCCUUUAAGCACUGUGAAAUACUUUAUAACAGUAUUACAAUGUAUUCUUCUAUUGCGCGACGCUGUGACAAUUUUUGUGCAACCAAAUCAUGGGCUGGUGCAACCAACUGAAAAUGUUGGGYAAAGUUCAUCUGGAGCCCACCUAUACUGUUUUUUAUAUACUGUACUGUAAAUGAGCAUAGGUUCAUGGUAGGCCAAUCACAACAUUUCAGUGCAAUAAUCCUAUGGGAAAUUAGGCCUAUGGGAGUUUUUUUAAAUGCUCUGGAGAUGAGAAUAUUGCUAUAUCCUGUCACGCCCUGACCGUAGAGAUCAUUUUAGGAUACAUUUUAUGUCUCUA